GAGGGUACAGCUCAAGUGGUAGAGCGCAUGCUUAGCAUGCACAAGGUCCUGGGUUCAAUCCCCAGUACCUCCU
rfam:Camelus ferus unplaced genomic scaffold scaffold1554, whole genome shotgun sequence.